AUUGAACGCUGGCGGCAGGCUUAACACAUGCAAGUCGAACGAGUGGCGGACGGGUGAGUAAUGCUUUGGAAUCUGGCUUAUGGAGGGGGAUCACGACGGGAAACUUUCGCUAAUACCGCGUCCCAUACGAUUAGCCCAAGUGGGAUUUGGUAGUUGGUGGGGUAAUGGCGCACCAAGCAGACGAUCUGGAGCUGGUCGGAGAGGAUGACCAGCCAGACCGGGACGGAGACACGGCCCGGGCUGCUUGGGGAGGCGGCAGUGGGGAAUAUGGCGCAAUGAGGGCAAAAAGACGAAGCCAGGCCGCGAGAAUGAAGAAGGCCUUCGGGUUGUAAAGUGCUGUCGGUGACGAGGCGUUAAUCACAGAAGAAGCAACGGCUAACUCCGUGCCAGCAGCCGCGGUAAUAC
rnacentral:rRNA from 1 species